CCCUUAGAUGUCCUGGGCCGCACGCGCGCUACACUGAUGCAUGCAACGAGUUUAUAACCUUGGCCUGAAAGGUCUGGGUAAUCUUUUGAACGUGCAUCGUGAUAGGGAUAGAUUAUUGCAAUUGUUAAUCUUGAACGAGGAAUUCCUAGUAAACGCGAGUCAUCAGCUCGCAUUGAUUACGUCCCUGCCCUUUGUACACACCGCCCGUCGCACCUACCGAUUGAGUGGUUCGGUGAAGAUCUCGGACUUCGAUAUUUAUUCUUUAUUGAGUUUAUAUUGUGGGAAGUUAUCUAAACCUCAUCAUUUAGAGGAAGGUGAAGUCGUAACA
rnacentral:rRNA from 1 species